AUCCUUUCUCGGCCUCUUGGAUAAGAUCAAGUAUAAUAUCUUUUUUAUCAAUUUCAUAUAACGUAGAUCCAUGGAUCCAUGAGAUAUUAAGUUAAUUUUUCAUGGGGGAGAAUUUGUUUGUGUAACACGUUACAUGGACGGUUCUCAUGUGUCGGCCAAGUGUUGCACUAUUGCUUGAAUCAGGCGCACCCCAA
rfam:Hordeum vulgare subsp. vulgare, WGS project CAJW01000000 data, contig: morex_contig_59911